CUUGAGUGAGAUGCCAUUAUUUCUCUUGCCAACUUCAUUCCAACCAAGUGUCUCUCACCAUCCCGCUUCUGCUUCUUUUUAUAGUUAAGUGCCAUAGGGGAAGCUAAGAGGAGACUUGAGCCAACCUGGGCCAGCUCAAAAGUUCUACGGUUUCUGCCUGUUCCAAUGUUCACCCAUCUACCUGGUCUGUGGGGAAAUAUCCGUUACAGGAUUUUGCCUCUCAGCCCAUCCUGGUUUUUGGCUUGGCAGACCCGAUGAGAAUGAACCAUUAACCGAGUCUGAUCAGCUGUUAAGGAGGAAGGAAACAGAAAGUUAUCCUGGAAAAGAACCAGAAGGGUCACAGCUGUAAGAAGAAAGAAUCCCUCGGCAGCAGAGAGCUGAUGACAGGUACCAGUAGGAUUCCAAAGCUUCAGAUGCACAUGACUGAGAAGAUAUUUAGAUCAGAAAGGGGCUGA